CUCCCGACGUUGGCCUAGGGCAAGACCUGGUGCGCCGCCGAGAGAGAGAGGAGGAGGAGGAGGAAGGGAGGGACAUCCCCCGUGUAUGCGUGGUGGGCGAGGGCGAUGUCUCUGGUCACACCGGUGCGUGACUCCUCGACGUGUAUCGGUGUAUGGCGUCCUGCCGGCGGGCGCGGAGCGGGGGGCGGUAGCGGCCGAGCGCACUCAACCUCGCGCUGAAUUUGUUCAACCUUGUACCUCAACGUCCUUUACGAUCUUCAGUAUUGCUUUGUCCGCGUCCACAAGCACAUUGUCGGGCAAGACGACGGGCGCGCUUCUGCACUCCCUUGACCUUGCCCGUGGCCCGAGAGUCUGGAAAGUCGCUAGGUGCAGCCGCCAUGCCCUCCUGCUGGCAAUUCCUUCAAUCGCUGCAGUCUGCACCUGAUCAUGAUAAGUAACCCAACCUUUUGAAUUGUGAUCGGAAGCAAUUGAUUUCUUUUGCUGAAAAUAUAUAUGAGGUGAGUCCAAAUUGAAUUCGUCUGCAAUCAGUUGAUUUGUCAACAUGGAGUAGUCACAUCUUACCAGUGCAUUCUCCAAUUCCCCAUUGUUGUCUCACUCUGUAAUCCCCUGCCCCCUAAUCUAAUCGUCUUUGCUUCAGUCAGUGUACCCUGGAUUUGAACGAAAUCAAAUACCCACCAUGUGCUUCUAAUUGACACGCUUGACACCUAACUUGCUGACUUGAACAUCUGAAUUGUGACGACGACUAAGGAAUUAAGUAUCUAGAUCAUUUGUAUCAUUUCUUAGAGAAUUAACCUAGCCAGCAUAAACACCAAAUAUUUAGAUUCAGCAGUGUGCUUAUGUUAAGUUCAACAUGGUUUAAAUUCACUAAAGUGCAGGUAGCUCUCAGCAUCAACAUCACAUGGGACAAGUAUAAAUGCAAUCUGAAGUCAAUAAUGUUAUUGUUCGGUUAGUUUGUUGUCUGAUCAUGAUAAUUUUCUUAGAACGUUGUUGUACCUUCAGAUUAGAAUAACUUUCUUAUAUCAACAAUUUGGUUCAGCAUGCAACUUAAUGUUGUAUGCAUGGGGUAGAAGAAGCAAACAAGCGGUCUACUCCAUCUAGCACCUCAAAGAGCAACCGCAGUGCAGACCGCCCCUUGCAGGCUUCAGAUCACCCACAAGAACGUUGAGAAUUUGGGCGGACAUACUAUAGCUCUUACUACUUGAGUACUUGUUGGUCCGCUACAGAGUGGCUCCCGCUCCAAGUUGGGCACAAAACCCCAGGAGCAUGUUGAGGGCAUAAGGCAAGCAGAAUAACAAGAAAUCCGCCAAACAUUGUGUGUUCAACUUUGUUUUUGGUUCUGGGAAUUGCCUCUUCGUUGGCCUCCAGGUAUUUUAGUCUCAACAAUGAUAUUUAGCUUAUUGUGCAAUAACCACAUGUUUGGAUGGAACAAUCUGACAUAAUUUGACUGCAAAAAUGCAAGACAACAAUAAGGAUGAAAAUCCAUGUUAUGUUAUUUUGAUAGAGUAAGUGGCUCCUUUCCUAAAAAUAAAGAUACAUGGAGAUCUGCAAGUAUUUGAUAACUUUGGCUUUCUAUUAUUUUAGCAUUUUGUGUUUGGUACAAAUUUUCCUGCGUACUUAAAAGACUCAAGGUUGUGUUUUUGGGAUGAGUUUGACAGUAGUCUGUGCAUGGUAGUCUAAAUUAUAUACAUUUUCAGUAUGAGUUUAUAACUUAGCUGUCAUGAGAAAUACGACGCAUUUUGCAGUGGGGGCGCUGAAGUAUUCCGAGGCAAUCUUUGACAGGAGUUGAUGUAUUGUUUUUCUUUUACUUGAUUUAGUGAAUUUUAAAAUUCUAUACCAAUUUUAUAACUCACUAUGUAUUGUUUAUAAGAUUACCCACACCAAUGUUGUGACGCUAAUCUGCCUACAUGCAGGUGAUGACUUCCUUAGAUAGGAACCGGUCUCCUUGUACUUUCAUAGAGAAGUGUUGUAAAUUGCAUUCUAUUAUAUGUUGCCACAACUUUUCCAGAGUUGUUUGUAUAUGUCAAUGCUUGACAUGAUGAGGUUUUGCUUAGUAAGCAUGCCUUUGUGUAACUCUUUCCUCAAAAAUAUGUGAUUGCGUGGUCGAAUUAAAUUCCCCACAUAAAUA